rnacentral:rRNA from 1 species
ACGAACGCUGGCGGCGUGCUUACUACAUGCAAGUCGAGCGGGGUUACUGCGACAGAUCCCUUCGGGGUGACGUUGCUUUAACCUAGCGGCGGACGGGUGAGUAACGCGUGGGUAACCUACCCUAAAGCUCGGGAUAACAGUGGGAAACCGCUGCUAAUACCGGAUGACUUUAACCUAUGGCAUCAUGGGUUAAAGAAAGAUUUAUCGCUUUAGGAUGGGCCCGCGUCCCAUUAGCUAGUUGGUGAGGUAACGGCUCACCAAGGCGACGAUGGGUAGCCGGCCUGAGAGGGUGUACGGCCACACUGGGACUGAGACACGGCCCAGACUCCUACGGGAGGCAGCAGUAGGGAAUAUUGCGCAAUGGACGGAAGUCUGACGCAGCGACGCCGCGUGAGCGAUGAAGGCCUUCGGGUCGUAAAGCUCUGUCCUUGGGGAAGAAGGUCUUCGGACUUGACGGUACCCAAGAAGAAAGCCCCGGCUAACUACGUGCCAGCAGCCGCGGUAAUACGUAGGGGGCGAGCGUUGUCCGGAAUUACUGGGCGUAAAGGGUGCGUAGGCGGCCCUUUAAGUCAGAUGUGAAAGGCCACGGCUUAAC